CACGGGGGGAGCAAGCGUUGUUCGGAAUCACUGGGCGUAAAGGGCGUGUAGGCGGUCAAGUAAGUGGGACGUGAAAGCCCCCGGCUCACCCGGGGAUCUGCAUCCCAAACUGCUUGGCUUGAGUAUGGGAGAGGAUAGGGGAAUUCCUGGUGUAGCGGUGAAAUGCGUAGAUAUCAGGAGGAACACCGGUGGCGAAGGCGACUAUCUGGCCCAAUACUGACGCUGAGGCGCGAAAGCUAGGGGAGCAAACAGG
rnacentral:rRNA from 1 species